rnacentral:lncRNA from 1 species
ACUGGUGGGUGUCCCAAGUUCUACGGAGUCAUUCCGCGGCCAGCGGCCUUGCGACCCGAUUGCGACGCCUUUUUAUCUGUUAAGAAUUUCUGCCUGGAUCGUCCUCCCACCCCCAUCUUGGCCAGGGGACAGGAAAGCAACUGUGUUAACGGAGUGAAAUGGGGGCGGGCGCUGCGCACAACACGUGGACCGAAAGUCACCGUGGCCACCACCCCGGUGUACUGUGUGUAAUCUUGGUGUGUGAAGAGACCAGAAGAAGGUGCUAGAUCCCCUGGAACUGGAGUUACAGAAGCCACCAUGAGGAUGCUAGGAAUCAAACCCAGGUCCUCUGCAAGAGAGCAAGUGCUUUUGACAGCUGAGCCACCUCUUCAGCCACCUCUUGAAGCCUAUUUUGCUCCAUUGAUCUAUUCAUAUUCUAAUGCCACUAAUACAUGCUAUGUAUUUUGACACAAUUUAAAAAAGUAAUUCAUAGUACAUGUACAAAUGAUAAAUGCACAAUUUGUUGGUUUGUGAUUGGCUCUUGCUCUGUAGCACAGGCUGGCUCGGAAGUCACUAUGUAGUCUAGGCAAUCCUGCCUUACCCUCAAGAGUUCUGGAACUACAAGUAUAAGUUGCCAUAUGGUCAUUUUAUAUGUACAUAUUUUUUUCAAAAAUGGAUUAUCUUUUGUAAGCAGCACCAAAUCAAGAAGAAACAUUACCUAUGUCUGAGAAGCCACUCAUGAGCCCUUUCCUGUCAGUACUCUCCUCAAGAGGAAAUCGCAGAAUAUGUACUCUCUUGUGUCUAGCUUCCUUUGAAUUACUUAAGCAAGAUUCAGGCUUAAUGUAUAUAAAGCUUGUCUAUUUAUCAUUCUUACUGUGUCAUAGUAUAUUGUGAAAAUUGUCCAUAAUUUGCUUUUCUGUCUUAUUGCUAAUGUUAUUUUUUAUUGGAAUCACAUAUUUUUAAAGGAGGAUUGUUGUAUUUAUAAUCUAGAAUCUUCACAUAAGUUUAUGUCAUGG